AGAGUUUGAUCCUGGCUCAGGAUGAACGCUGGCGGCGUGCCUAAUACAUGCAAGUCGAGCGAACAGAUAAGGAGCUUGCUCCUUUGACGUUAGCGGCGGACGGGUGAGUAACACGUGGGUAACCUACCUAUAAGACUGGGAUAACUUCGGGAAACCGGAGCUAAUACCGGAUAACAUUUGGAACCGCAUGGUUCUAAAGUGAAAGAUGGUUUUGCUAUCACUUAUAGAUGGACCCGCGCCGUAUUAGCUAGUUGGUAAGGUAACGGCUUACCAAGGCAACGAUACGUAGCCGACCUGAGAGGGUGAUCGGCCACACUGGAACUGAGACACGGUCCAGACUCCUACGG
rnacentral:rRNA from 1 species